ACUUAUCUGAUCAAUUUGAUUGAUUAAGGAUUAAAUAAGGUUGCUUGGUCAUUCAUGUUCACCUAUACCGAAUAGGUUAGUCAGACAUGAGAUUGUGCUGAUCUAAAUUUGUUCAGUCGAUAUUUGAUGUGCUGAUUUAAAUGAGAUCUGAACCUAAAUCUUCUCACUAAAUAUUAAAUCUAGCGGUCUUCCACCAUUGUAGAGAUGCAGGAGCCUUCCUGAUGUUGAUCAUUCUUGGCUGGUUAUAGUGAUUUGGUUGACAUCGAAAAAGUACAACCACUCUAUUAGCAUUGGAUGUCCCGGGAUAAAAAUAGAGUUAGACCCAAUAGCUUUUAGGUGAGGGAUUCAAUGA
rnacentral:lncRNA from 1 species